UAAAAAGUAUUUGUGGGUCUU
rnacentral:siRNA from 1 species